rnacentral:lncRNA from 1 species
UUUUGGGGGGGUUAGUAUUAAAAAAAGAAAUAUUUUAGUUAAUGGGUUGGUUUAUGUAAGGUUUGAUGGGUUAAAUUUAGUUUGGGUUAAUUAGUGGGUUGGGUGAUGAUAUGUUAAGUUAGUAGGUUGGGUUGGUUGUGUUGGAUUAUUAAGUUAGUGGGCUGAGAUUGGUUUGUAUUGGGUUGAAGUAAUUUGGAUUUUGU